rnacentral:lncRNA from 1 species
GCGAGGCGCCGCCGUGCAUUCAUUCCCGGCCGCAUCGGUGGCGGCAGCAGCGACCCGGGCGGCGACUCUCCGGCCAGAGGCGGCGGUAGGAGGCCCCGGCAGGCGUGCGGGGAGCGCGUCGGCGCCGAGCUGCGUUCCCUCCCUCGCUCGCUGCUUCCCCCCUGCCUCGCUCGCCCGCCCGCUCCCUCCCUGCGUGGCUCGCUUUCCUCCUCCGGUCGCCGGCGGCUGGGAUGUGCCGCCGCCGCCGCCGCUGACGGACGGAGCAGGGGCGCCGCCCGCGCCCGGGACCGACCCCCAGCUCGCGGCCGCGCCUCCGAGGUAAAGCCCCCCUCCCGCGGUGGCGCGCGGCGGCGGCUCGGUCCUCCCGGGCGGGGCUGGGUGGGCCGGGGUCGCGGGCCGGGGCGGGCCGGGGGCGGCGGGGGCGGCGCCGCAGGGGGGCCGCGGAGGGGAGGGGCGGGGCGGGCGGGCGAGCGAGCGCCGGGCCGGGCUUGGCGGGAGGGGCAGGGGCAGCGGCCGCGGGGGGGGCGGGGGCGCGGAGGGCCGGGCGGCCGGGCGGCCGGGGAGGGGGCCGCGGGCGGCGGGCCGGGCGGGCGCCGAAGUUGCGGGGCGGCGGGGCGGCGGGGCGGCGGGCGAGCCGGGGGAGGCGGCGGCCGCGGCGGGGAGGGGUGCGGAGGGCGGGCGGGCGGGCGCGACCGCGACCGCGACCGCGUCCAGACAAUUAGCCCGGGAGGGAGGGGGUUGGGGCCGGAGGGCGGCGCGGAGGAGGGUCGGGGCCGGCGCGCCGGGGGGCCGCGCUUCCCGCUGGGGCGUGUGGGGCGGGGGGCCGGGGCUUCCCCAUGGGGCAGGGCUGUGGCCUUAGCGCACAACUUGAGCGCGGCGCGAUCGGGGGUCAGCGGCCUCCGCUGCCUGCUGGGAAGGUGCCGGCGUGUUGUUUAUGGCACAUGCAGGGGAAGUGACACGCCGAGGCGUCGGCGCUCCUGGAGCUCAGCUCCUACCUUUCUUUUCCGCGGGGCGGUGGUGGGGAUGUGUGCGUGUGCUCCGGGGCGUGGGCGGUCGGGCCUGUAG